UAGCACAUUUUCCAAAUGAAUAGAUCCUGUAGAUCUAAACUGAUUAGUUGAUUCUCAGUCUAAUGAUCAUUCUCUCCAAAACAUGUCAGCAUGAUUUCAUUGUAUAAGUACUCACAUGCACAACUGUCUGUUCAAUCGUCAAAAUUGGUCAAGAACAUAAUACCAUGAAUGCCAUAUAUGAAUUUCUUUGAAUAUUUGAUAAAUUGAUGACAGUCAUUGACAGUCAGGUGAAACUAGACUAACGAAGGGGGAGUGUCACACACAGGUGUGUUCCAUGAUUGUGUGCUGCCAAACACAGAUAUAUAGAGCUUGACCAGUGCCAGUCCGAUCUCUGAACAUGGAUAGACAAGGCCAAGCAAACGGACAAGGGGAAGUUCUCCCUCAAGGAGGAGGAGGAGGAAGAAGAAGAAGAGGAGGAGGAGGACUGAGAAUGCGUGGUGGAGGAAGAGGCCGAGGUGCGCGAAGACACUGUGCUGUCCCAAAUGAAGUUCGGGCCACAAUUAUAGACCAUGUCAUAAACCAUGGCCUCACAAUGGCAGAGGCAGGUCGUCGAGUGCAGCCUAAUGUGCCUCACUCUACAGUCUCCUCCAUCAUCCAAACCUUUCACAGGGAAAACCGGAUUGGAUGACAACCUCGCGUGGGUGGCAGAGGAAAACUGCUCAAUGAACAACAGGAAAGAGAGAUUUGUAACAUGGUGUUGGUAAAUAAUGCCAUCACACUGAGACAGAUCCGUGAUGCCAUCCUUCAGGACAAUCAUAUAUUCCAGAAUAUAAACACAAUAAGCAUCUCCACAAUAGACCGGGUUUUGAAGAAGCAUCAGAUGACAAUGAAACAAAUCUACAGGGUAGCAUUUGAGAGGAACUCUGACAGAGCGAAGGAGCUGCGCUACCAGUAUGUGAAUGUAAGUCAGUUACUGGUUGUCUCUCAUUAUAACCUUACCUGUAAUCACAGUAAGCAGUAGUUCACUUAUUUGGUUUCAAUACCUCCUUUACCUGAUUUCAGAAUCAGUAUUUGCUGCAUCUGACUUCAACAAUUUCAACAGAAAACUGCAGUUUACUGUAUGAUACAAAUCUCAUAAUCCUUAUUUUGUUGUCUCCCAAUCAAAUCUAUCUAAUACUGUAGGUUUUACUGUAACAUCUCAGUGAGUCAUCAGUGUUUCCCACUCCCCUUUCUCUCAAAUACCCCUGCAGUACUUCCUCAUAGGCCUAUCACUAGUUUAGAACCACUGGAGUAGUGGCCUGUAGUAUAUUGAACCUGUGGGGGAGAACAUGUAAUUGUCUAACUGUAGUAUAUGACUCUUCUGUAUGACUGAUUUUAUGUUCUUUACUCUAUUUUAGAGAAUAAUGGCAUUGGAAGGACAUGAGACCCCUCACAUCCUGGUGUUCGUGGAUGAAGCUGGCUUCAACCUGGCCAAGGGCCGAAGACGUGGCCGUAAUAUUGGCCACUGGGCCACAGUGGAUGUCCCAGGUCAGCGAGGGGGCAAUUUAACUGUGUGCUGCCAUUUCUGAAAAUGGUGUGGCCACUCACAUCCCCAGUCUUGGCCCAUACAACACACAAGCUCCUCAUCUUCUUGGAUCGCCUUUAUACCGAUUUUAUCCCUGAAAAUGAGAGAGGUCUCAUAUGGCCUCACCUACCCAUUUAUGUAAUUGUGUGGGACAAUGUCAAUUUCCACCAUAGCCCACUCAUCAGGGGCUGGUUUGCAACGCAUCCAAGGAUGGUCAUGGGGUUCCUACCACCUUACUCUCCUUUCCUCAAUCCGAUAGAGGAGUUUUUCUCUGCUUGGAGGUGGAGAGUGUAUGAGCAUCAUGCUCAGGAUCAGCCGUCCCUGCUCCAUGCUAUGGACGCAGCGUGUGACGACAUUACAGGAGAUCAACGCAGGGGAUGGUUGCGGCAUGCACGCCGUUUCUUCCCUCGUUGCAUCGCAAGAGAAACUAUCCGCUGUGAUGUGGACGAGAAUCUGUGGCCAGACGGACAACAGCGUGUAAAUAAUCAGGAGGGUGAAGACAGUGGACAAGAGCGGGAGAGUGAGUACAGCGACCACUGAAUAAGUCCUUGUUUUUUGAUUUUGUGUUCAUACAAUUUACUACUGUAAUGUACAUUUUCUUUUUACAUAUGUAUGAAACUUUCUUUGCGUGUGAAUAUAAAAUGGUUAUAAUUUCCUUGGUAGUGUGAGUGCAAUCUGUGAUGUCAAACCUUGGAGGCUACUCUUUUCUGUUGUAUAUUGUUGGUCCUCUGCCAUAGUGACAAAACAUCUAAACAUUUUGUAUGGCAGUACUCACACAAUGCCAAAGGGACGAUGCAUUUUGGGGGCACUGACUAUUCAGAUUAGCAAGAAAUGUAGUUUUGACACAUGAGUGAACUGUUUUAGGAGAGA